GUCUCUCAUGUGUGGUACAUUUCGCAUACACUGCUGUCACAUAAGCCGGUGUAUCUAAUAUUGUAAGAGUUAUUUUACAUGUCACAUGCUGAUCUGAAUCUUCUAAUAUAUUCACCGAUAUAUCUGAUGACCAAAACAACCAAACUUUGUUGUUGCAAUUGAUGUAAUAGUGUUGUACACCCAAUUAUAGUUUGUAGUGUUCAAUUUUUAUAGACCUUACCAUUGGAUCUUGUAACACAAUAAAAGGUAUUUUGUAUUGUAUUUGUAAAGUUUUAAGUCUUUCAAAAUCUUGUUGGGACUCCAUGCCCCUAAUGUUCCAUGGAAUUGUGUUAAUCAUUGGAAACAUUAGGGGUGAGGUCCAUUUUGCUCUAGCUUGUAGCUUUAGGUAAUGGUCCUUUCAUUCCAUCCCUUUGGCUAUGAUAACCCCCGGGGGAGAGGUUAUUGAAUUGUAAUUUUUUUCUCUUACUCCAGUUCCUACUGCCUCUUCAUUCGUUGAGGUCUUCAUAUAUUCUCAUCAUCCGAUCCGAUUUCCCCUUCCUCUUCGGUUAGGUUAACCAUUUCAGUGUCUUGUGUUUUUGAGACCUUCUCGUGAUCUGUAUUAUAUGUGCCUUGCCGCACUUUCAUGUGUGAAAGUUCCUCCCCCCCCCCCCCCCCCCCCGAGAUUUGGGUUGGGGAUUUUCCUGGGGUAAGCUGUUGCACUUCAAUUGCAAAAGCCGUAUUUAGUCCAACCUUACCUUUCUCCCCUUUCACUCCCACUGUUCUUAAGUUUAGGGUUGGAAAUUAGUCGCCACCAUUUAAUUUUGGACUAAUAUCAAACUCUGGUAAGUUCUUUUGAGGAGGGAUCUUGGAUUGGAACCUCUUCUUCUUCUUCUUCUUCCUUGUAGCGAUUUUCUUCACUUGAUCCUCCUUGACAUUUAUCAGCCUUUGGUCUGCACUAAGGGCUUGAUCUUCAAGUUGAUCCGCUACUAGUGUAGCCUUUUUCUUUGUCUUUUUCCCUUUCAUAGUCACUCCAGUCUUGCUCUUAUUCUUUUUUCCUUUUCUCGCCUUUUUUCCUCUUUGUUGCUCGUCACUCUGUUGUGCCUCAGUCGGUUUUCUGAUUUUCUCUAAGGUUUUUCUCUACAUCCAUUAUUUUUGAGUGAACACUGAUUUCAGUAAGGCUCUUUUCCAUUAGCUGUUCAUCUACCAUAUUGACCUUGGCCACUGAACCUGAUGGAUUGGUUUUCUUAGUGCUCCUGUUAUUUAGCUCCCCAUUCCUGGAAUUUUCUUUAGCCUUUUUCCUGUUGUUCUUUGAGUUCUUUACUUCAGUCCAUCCACCCUCAUCCUCGUCCAUAAUAUUCUCAGUUUGUUUGGUUUUCUGUUUAUCAGUUGUCCCUGGUUCUUCGCCCUUUGGCUGUUGUAUCCUACAAAUCGCGUCUGAAUGACCCUGAAUUUGACAGUGGAAGAAAAACUCUGAGAUAUACUCAUACUCGAUUAGUUGAUUGAAUAUGUCUAGUUCACCAUUACCAUCCACAAGCUCCACUUCUACUUCCUUCAAAUUUGGUUUUGAUAAGUCAAUCUCCACUCGAGCUUUCGCCGGAGUUGGCCUUGUUCUUGCCAUCGAAGCCUUGUCUAGAGCUAUUAGGGGACCAAUGGGCUCCAGAAUUCUUUCCAUUACUGCCUAGUCAUGGUAAUGUCAUGGUAAUUCGGGGAGCGUCACCCAAACCGGAGCCAAGGUUGACUGCAUAUCCACUUUGAAGUUCCUGGUCCAUCGUUGAAUUCUCAUGGUGGUGCCACAAAUCUGUAUUGGACGUCUACCAUAGAACCUUUUGAAAUCCUCUUCUUCCGUGAAAUCGAUGAACACAUGCCUCCAGUCAUAGGCCCUAAUUUUGAUCGAUCCUUUCAGGGGAUAAGUUCUUUUGAAAUCAUCCCUUAUUUUGUCAAUUUGGGGACGGUAUCGAGAGAAUUUUCCAACAAUUGUCCACUUGCACUUUUUAGCCAGUAAUUCAUCUCUCUUUCGAGAAGACUACUCUCGCUUUCCCGUCAAUUAGUUCAUAAGGCUUGUGUUCUAAUCGUACAUUCUUUCUGCAUGGCCCAUUGAAUUUUCCUUCAACAGCCGCAACAAAAUUGAAUUGUGUUGAAUUGUUUUCUCACUGUUCUUGUUUGGGGUAGCUAGGCGCAUCCCCUACUGUUCGUCAGUGGCAAUAUGGCUGGUCAGAGCCGCCUUAGUGGGUAGGGGAAGGAAUUUGGGUUCAUUGUUCUGUAGGGGGAAGAAUGGUCAAUUUCUUGGUACAAUAAAUCUGAAUGUCAGCCACUCAUAAGGUUUUGAAGAGUGCCAGGAGAACUACUUUUACCAGCAGAAAAAUUUGGAAUGCAAGAGUAACUUAUAAGUUUUUUUUUGUUGCAGUUAUUGAAAUACAGAAUCCCUACUGAUGAAGUCAUUAGGAGGUUUGUAUUUAACGGCCCUAGCAUGUGCUAUUGUUGUAGAGCUCCUCUAGAAGACACCAUUGAACACAUCUUUUCCUCUAGCUCGAAGGCCAAAGUUGUCUGGCAGUUUUUUUGGUAGCCACUUGGUAGGGGAAUUUGUAGCCGAACCCUAUAUUUGUUCCACCUUU
rnacentral:lncRNA from 1 species